rnacentral:rRNA from 1 species
UACAGAGGUCCCGAGCGUUGUUCGGAUUCACUGGGCGUAAAGGGUGCGUAGGCGGUUCUGAAAGUCUGAUGUGAAAUCUCCAGGCCCAACCUGGAAACUGCAUUAGAAACUACAGGGCUAGAGGCUUGGAGGGGGAACUGGAAUUCUCGGUGUAGCAGUGAAAUGCGUAGAGAUCGAGAGGAACACCAGUGGCGAAGGCGGCAUCCUGGACCGGCAUUGACGCUGAGUGAGCGAAAGCCAGGGGAGCAAACGGG